AGACUCUCGCCAAGGAUCAGGAAAUGGAACCAAGAAUGCAACACAAACACUGGAAGUAUGCGCCAUGAGUUUGCACAUUCCACGAACAUUCUCUAUAAAAUACCCAACAAAGUGGCUUCAGCUGCAGUUUACUUCAUCCAGAAGCAAGCGUAACUACUCGAUUUAGGUGAAUCCUCUUUGUGCGUUUAUCCCAGCGCCGAUCAACGAAAUCUCAGUGUUCGUCGGACGCGAUUCGAUUCUGGGAACAAGAUCGGGAGAGAGAAAGAAACAGCGGGGGAAAGAGAUAGCGUGUUCGGCCACGAGGAAGAGGAUACUCUAUCAAGCCCAAGUGACACAAAGAAAUACACGUGUUCGGUGAACGUUGGUAUCCUUUGGCUAAAAAUCUGCACUAUUAUCUCAGGUUACAUGCUGCGGAGAUUUAUGACUAAGAAAAAAGAUAUCCGUAGACCUGGAUCACACGUGCUGACCGUGUGUCGGCUCCUGAGUCGUCUGAACCCGAUGGUCAUAAAACAAAUUGACCGACCGUGAAGCCUAAUCUCUCGCGUUCGGUCUUUUUGGGACCGGACAUACCUGUUAACCUCCUGUUGGACGCACUGGCAUGUGUCAACCAGUCUCCCAUUCACUAUCUCAUCUAAACAUGCUAUACUGCAAGACCGAGAGAGAUCUUCAGGGGAAGAUCGAGUAAGGAAAAUCGAUGGAAGGAAAUUGAAGUCACGGAGCACACACACAAUCUGCUCAGCCGGCUCGUGCACCACGAGGCGAACUUUGCUCGCCGUGUACUCCGAUAAACCGUCGAAAUGGGUCAGAGCCGUGACCUUUUCUGCCUUCCUACGUGCCGUGGCGAGGAUGUAUAGCCGUGUCAUGGAUCUACGUUGGCUUCGACGUUGCCUUUAAACGCCAACAUGUUUCCGUGACCGUCGCGCGACGAUAAUACGUCGUCGCUCGAUCACGUUGCGACGAACAUUACGAAACUCUUGCGAUCAAUUAUUGUGUACCGCUAAUAAACCGUUCCCACUGUUCAAAAACACUGUUGGGCGACACUGUCGGGAGACAGUGUGGGGAAAACACUGUGGCAAAGGACUGCACACUUUUAAAUCCCUCGAAUAUAAACACUUUCGUUCGAAACAUUUUUUUAUACAUGUAGUUCACAAGAAAAAUUGAAGUAGAAGAAUUAAAUGACUCUGCCUGUAUUUGAUUUAACAAGAGUGGAAUAAGAAGCGAAAGUAUUUACAAUUCGAUCAUCUGAAGUUUAUUAAAUAUUCGACAAUACAUGUAACUCACCCCGAAUGGGAAAUAUUAUUCAAUAAAUAAAAAUAACUAUGCUUAUAUUUUAUAAAGUUGUUUCAGGAUAUUUGUAAGCUAGCAGAACAGGGUGUCUAACAGUCGACAAUCCGAGUUUAGGAAAAGCGCAUAUUCAACCCGGCUACCGAGAACAGUUGUCUCAAAUCGACUUUGUCACCGGAUCGUGGCAUCUGCGAGAAGGGUGGAUCAGUCCUCGGCUAGAAUGGACAAUAUCUCGAGCAAAGGUUAACGUCCAAGUGACGGAGACUAUGUGCAGAUGCGAAUCUUUCGCGUUGUCCUCGAGGGAAGGGGAUGCGCCACCAAUGACGUCAGUGGAAUGCAGAAACGAGCAUAGCAAAUUGCAAGUGAUAUCACGCAAUCUGAAAUUCGUUCGCUGGCUACGUCGUCAUCUCGUUCAUGAUUGAGCGGCGUUUUUCUUAGCUGUCGUCAAUGGGAAAUCGGAUCCUUUAGAAACUGAGUAAAUGUCCCUCUACUCAAAUAGUUAUUUGAAUGUUCAUAUAUAUUACACAUUUUUAGUGAUAUUAGUUAGUUAUUAACAUUAAGUUCUGAUAAAAGUUCUCAUUAAAUUUUAGUUAUCAAGUUCUGAUAAAAGUUCUCGAAAUCCUGGACAUUGUAAUGAAUAAAAUAGUUUUCGAAAAUAGUAGCUAUUUCGUAGAAAUUAAGUUGUAACGUUAAGGGUUCACGUAAUAUAACGCGUUUAUUUCUGAAGGGUUUAGUUGAAUAUAUAAAGUGAAUUUUUUAUUCAGCAAAGAUAUUUUUAACUCGUUAUAUGCUAUGAAAUGUUGCACAUUUGUUUCCUAUUUUUAAUAGUUUAAAUGUUUAAUCGAA